rnacentral:rRNA from 1 species
UGAGGAAUUUUCCGCAAUGGGCGCAACACUGACGGAGCAACGCCGCGUGCAGGAGGACGGCCUUCGGGUUGUAAACUGCUUUUCUCGCCGACGAGACAAGGACGGUACCCCAGGAAGAAGCCCCGGCUCACUACGUGCCAGCAGCCGCGGUAAUACGUAGGGGGCGAGCGUUGUCCGGAGUUACUGGGCGUAAAGGGCCUGCAGGCGGUUCGGCGCGUUGGCGGUGCCAGCCCGUUGCUUAACGGCGGGAGUGCCGGCAAGACGGUCGGACUGAGAGGGCCUCAGAGGGACAUAGAAUUCCGGGUGGAGUGGUGAAAUGCGUAGAGAUCCGGAGGAAUACCAAAGGCGAAGGCAGUGUCCUGGGAGGCGCCUGACGCUGAGGGGCGAAAGCCAGGGGAGCGAACGGGAUUAGAUACCCCUGUAGUCC